rnacentral:rRNA from 1 species
AACGAACGCUGGCGGCAUGCCUAACACAUGCAAGUCGAACGAGACCUUCGGGUCUAGUGUCUCACGGGUUCGUAACGCGUGGGAACCUGCCCUUAGGUUCGGAAUAACUCCCCGAAAGGGGUGCUAAUACCGGAUCAUGUCUUCUGACCAAAGAUUUAUCGCCUUUGGAUGGGCCCGCGUUGGAUUAGCUAGUUGGUAGGGUAAAAGCCUACCAAGGCGACGAUCCAUAGCUGGUCUGAGAGGAUGAUCAGCCACACUGGGACUGAGACACGGCCCAGACUCCUACGGGAGGCAGCAGUGGGGAAUAUUGGACAAUGGGCGAAAGCCUGAUCCAGCAAUGACGCGUGAGUGAUGAAGGCCUUAGGGUUGUAAAGCUCUUUUAACCGGGAUGAUAAUGACAGUACCGGGAGAAUAAGCUCCGGCUAACUCCGUG